AACGAACGCUGGCGGCAUGCCUAACACAUGCAAGUCGAACGAGACCUUCGGGUCUAGUGGCGCACGGGUGCGUAACGCGUGGGAACCUGCCCUUAGGUUCGGAAUAAUUCCCCGAAAGGGGUGCUAAUACCGGAUAAUGUCUUCGGACCAAAGAUUUAUCGCCUUUGGAUGGGCCCGCGUUGGAUUAGCUAGUUGGUAGGGUAAAAGCCUACCAAGGCGACGAUCCAUAGCUGGUCUGAGAGGCUGAUCAGCCACACUGGGACUGAGACACGGCCCAGACUCCUACGGGAGGCAGCAGUGGGGAAUAUUGGACAAUGGGCGAAAGCCUGAUCCAGCAAUGCCGCGUGAGUGAUGAAGGCCUUAGGGUUGUAAAGCUCUUUUACCCGGGAUGAUAAUGACAGUACCGAAAGAAUAAGCACCGGCUAACUCCGUG
rnacentral:rRNA from 1 species